CCCUUAGAUGUCCUGGGCUGCACGCGCGCUACACUGAUGUGUCCAGUAAGCACCUAACCUAUUCCGAGAGGAGCGGGUAACCUUAGCAAAGCACAUCGUGAUGGGGAUAGAUUAUUGCAAUUAUUAGUCUUGAACGAGGAAUUCCUAGUAAGCACAAGUCAUCAGCUUGUGUUGAUUACGUCCCUGCCCUUUGUACACACCGCCCGUCGCUCCUACCGAUUGAAUGUUCCGGUGAGCUCUUCGGACUGCGCGGUCUGCAGUUUCUGCGUUCCGUGCGGAAAGUUUUGCAAACCUUAACAUUUAGAGGAAGGAGAAGUCGUAACA
rnacentral:rRNA from 1 species